rnacentral:misc_RNA from 1 species
GUAUAUGUUUUAUAGGCACAACAUUCUAUUAACAUACAUUGGGGUAAAUGAAGCAACAUAGACCUGAGAGGUCUACAAAAAGUGCACAGGUGGAGAUAUAAAGAUGACAAGGCGUGCACAUGCUCCCUAGAGAACCAGCAACAACCCAUCAGGUUUAUUUCAAUAAUGAUCCUUCCGCAGGUUCACCUACGGAAA